UACGAAGGGGACUAGCGUUGUUCGGAAUUACUGGGCGUAAAGCGUGCGCAGGCGGCUAUGCAAGACAGAUGUGAAAUCCCCGGGCUUAACCUGGGAACUGCAUUUGUGACUGCAUGGCUGGAGUGCGGCAGAGGGGGAUGGAAUUCCUGGUGUAGCGGUGAAAUGCGUAGAGAUCAGGAAGAACACCCGUGGCGAAGGCGGUUCUCUGGGACGGUACUGACGCUGAGACGCGAAAGCGUGGGGAGCGAACAGG
rnacentral:rRNA from 1 species